GGGACGGGGUGGAAUAACGCGUGGGUAACCUGCCUUGUACUGGGGGACAACAGUUAGAAAUGACUGCUAAUACCGCAUAAGCGCACAGUAUCGCAUGAUACAGUGUGAAAAACUCCGGUGGUACAAGAUGGACCCGCGUCUGAUUAGCUAGUUGGUAAGGUAACGGCUUACCAAGGCGACGAUCAGUAGCCGACCUGAGAGGGUGACCGGCCACAUUGGGACUGAGACACGGCCCAA
rnacentral:rRNA from 1 species